rnacentral:rRNA from 1 species
UACGUAGGGUGCGAGCGUUGUCCGGAAUUAUUGGGCGUAAAGAGCUUGUAGGCGGUCUGUCGCGUCUGCUGUGAAAAUCCGGGGCUCAACCCCGGACUUGCAGUGGGUACGGGCAGACUAGAGUGUGGUAGGGGAGACUGGAGUUCCUGGUGUAGCGGUGAAAUGCGCAGAUAUCAGGAGGAACACCGGUGGCGAAGGCGGCAUCCUGGACCAACACUGACGCUGAGGAGCGAAAGCCAGGGGAGCAAACGGG